CCCCAGGCCUGUCCCAGGCCUCUGACAUGAUAUUUUCUUCCCACAGGAGGAAAAGGACCGAGUUACUCUCACACUGCACGAGAUGACAGUGCCCAGGGCUCUGAUGUGUCUCUUACAGUUCCUAAAGUGUGAGACGGGCUGCCUCAUGGGGACUGAGUGAUGCAAGAUAUGUUCAGACUCCCACUUGGUGACAUCAACAACCCCUGAGUUCUCUUUCUGAAAAAGGUGUCAGAAUGUGGCUGUGUUCCUGUGAGCAUAAUGUUAGGAUGUGGAGAGAUUUGCCUACCCUGCCCACUGUGAUCCCUCCCUAUGUUCAUUUGCAUUCUCUUCUCUGAUGUGCUCUCCUGUUCCAGCAGAGGCAGGGCUGGACCGUCUCCAUGCCUGUCCUUAUUUCAUGUUGGGCUGAGUGCUGACUUAUUUCUCUAUUGAAAAUGAAAUCCAGAUAAAUGUUUUUGUUUCCUAAUUCUUGGUAUGUGGGGCCGAUGAAAUAAUAAAAGAGAUUUGUAAAGUUGAGACACAAAAUAAAUGGAAGCACUGAGAAACUUCCAGCA